rnacentral:miRNA from 1 species
UCUGGCAACUCAUUAGACUCAU